AAUAAGAUUAGAAUAAUUACUGCAUGCACAGAGGCAUUCAAACAAUCAUUCUUCCUGCACUUCAUAUGUGAAUGGAACAGGAAGAAACCCUAGUAUCUGGUACAAUUGGACAUACUCUCUGCCAUGCACCUCAGUGCAGAAUCAUGUGUUCCUCACUCCUGUAUCCACUAAAGAACCACCAGCAUUCAAGGAAGACAUAAUGCCUUUGUGAUCUACUUUGGAGAGAGGGGUGCGUGAUAAAUAUCCUCUUCCAUCAUCUUUACUGGAAGAUGCCACUGUUGUGCAAGAAGAAUGGUAUAAGGAACCACUCUGGAGAAGAACACAAGAAGAAAGCUAUAUCUUUAAUGAAGUUUUUGUUGAAAGGACCAUAAGAAUUCACUACUACUACAUUAAAAAAAUUACAGUUGAAAAUAAACACCAUUUUACAAAAUUAAUUUUUUUGUGACAUGUAUUUAUCUGAAUCAAAAUGUAGCAUUCAGUUUUAGCUUUCAGAAA